GCACUUUCGUUCUAAUCGUUUCGGCUGCCACCCUAUUCAUCUGCUCUUGCCGCUUUCUAUGCACGUGCACAUUUUUUCGCGUGCUCUGCAGUUGAAAAUUAUCCUUAUAUGCCUGCGAAUAUUCUGUCAAUGUCGGAAUUACCGAGGAAAGGAUACAAGGCUUGCUGUGCGGCUACGUGGUGCGGCAACUCGGGGAGCAACACCAGGGCAAAAUUUUUCCGUUACCCAUGAGACCAAAGGAAGGCCACAGGUGGGAAGGGACUACUCGGACCUUGCUGUGGUCGGCUGUGCCGACUGUGGGAGUGGAAGAGCGCUCCCUGAUCGAUGAUGUUGCAGAUGACACUCAAGCAUGGACAAGGCGCUGCGCCUUCCCUGUGUGCCUGUGUUCUACACCACCACAGCGAGGCCAUAAGUGGAAAAUAUACUCACCAGAGACCACAUGCGCUACCAACUGGCUGAGCGAUAAUACAUAAAGGAAUCGCAAGUCAGCGAAGUUACCAAGAGGAAAGUGCUAGAGAAGUUGAUGUAUCAUGUAAGCCCAGAGCUCUACCAACUAUUUCAGUGCCGCAAGAAUAAGAGAAGGACAAUGAGAAAUUCUUUCCGGAGCACGCUGGAGUGGUCGCGCCGUUGUGCGGUGUGUCGACUGUACUGAAAGAUGAGUUAAACCGCCGUGUACUACGAGAAAUCAUUUGCUGUAAUAAAUGUCGCAUAGACCUGCUGCAGUAGUUCUGCUAUUCGUGGCUUAUGCUGCACAUAAAUGACACCAAUCUGGAUGUCAAAAAACAGCGUGAGAGAAAACUUGCUAGAGAAGGAAAGCUCCAAAAGCUUGAAAAUUAAGACAAAUUUUGUUGCUGAUAUUUUAUUUUUGUAAUUCCGGUAGC